rnacentral:rRNA from 1 species
AUGAAGAAGCAACCUUGUCUAUCCCACCAUGGCCGUCGCCCACGAAGGACUUGCCUAACUAGGGCAGAUCUUCACGAAGUACGUGAUCUCCUUGCCCUUACAAACUCCUUGGUUCAACUCCACAAUCUUGUCGGAGGCUCCCAAGUGAUACCUAGCCAAUCUAGGAGACACCACUCUCCAAGAAGUAACAAAUGGUGUGUUGAUGAUGAACUCCUUGCUCUUGUGCUUCAAAUGAUAGUCUCCCCAACACUCAACUCUCUCUCACAUGAUUUGGAUUUGGUGGAAAGAGGAUUUGAGUGGAAAGCAACUUGGGGAAGGCUAGUGUCGGAUAUCGGGUUCCGGCAAACCCUUAAGGUUCAAACUCUGGGGUGCGCGAGAAGAUCUUUCCCCUACCGAUCCACGUCCCAACGCCUCGCUAGGAAUCUAAGCUAA